GGAUAGCUCAGUUGGUUAGAGCAUGAUGUUGCUAAUGCCAUGGUUACAGGUUCAAUCCUCCUAUGGGACAGCUGCA